UGGCUCAGGACGAACGCUGGCGGCGUGCCUAAUGCAUGCAAGUCGCACGCAGAGUGCUUGCACUCUGAGUGGCGCACGGCUGAGGAACACGUACGAAUCUACCUGGCGUGGGGAAUAACAUCGCGAAAGCGAUGCUAAUUCCGCAUACGUCCCGCCCAUUUGGGCGGGGGAAAGCCGCAAGGCGCGCGAGGAUGAGCGUGCGGCCCAUCAGGUAGUUGGCGGGGUAACGGCCCACCAAGCCGAUGACGGGUAGCUGGUCAGUGAGGACAGACAGCCAGACUGGGACUGAGAGACGGCCCAGACUCCUACGGGAGGCAGCAGCAAGGAAUUUUCCCCAAUGGGCGCAAGCCUGAGGGAGCAACGCCGCGUGCAGGAUGACGGCCUUCGGGUUGUAAACUGCUUUUCGGAGGGAAGAAUAUGACGGUACCUCCGGAAUAAGCCCCGGCUAACUCUGUGCCAGCAGCCGCGGUAAGACAGAGGGGGCAAGCGUUGUCCGGACUAACUGGGCGUAAAGCGUCCGCAGGUGGCGUGGCAAGUACGGUGUGAAAUCAGGCGGCUCAACCGCCUGGGGUCAUCGUAGACUGUCAUGCUGGAGGACUGGAGAGGUCGGUGGAAUUGCCAGUGUAGUGGUGACAUGCGUAGAUAUCGGCAGGAACACCCAAGGGGAAGCCAGCCGACUGGCCAGUGCCUGACACUCAUGGACGACAGCGUGGGGAGCGAACCGGAUUAGAUACCCGGGUAGUCCACGCCGUAAACGAUGGAUACUCGCCCUAUGGCGGUGUUAGAGCCGUUGUGGGGCCAAGCCAACGCGAUAAGUAUCCCGCCUGGGAACUACGAGCGCAAGCUUAAAACUCAAAGGAAUU
rnacentral:rRNA from 1 species